UCGAGCGAAUGGAUUAAGAGCUUGGCUCUUAUGAAGAUAGCGGCGGACGGGUGAGAAGCGCAAGGGUAACCUGCCCAUAAGAGUGGGAUAACUCCGGGAAACCGGGGCUAAUACCGGAUAACAUUUUGAACCGCAUGGUUCGAAAUUGAAAGGCGGCUUCGGCUGUCACUUAUGGAUGGACCCGCGUCGCAUUAGCUAGUUGGUGAGGUAACGGCUCACCAAGGCAACGAUGCCUAGCCGACCUGAGAGGGUGAUCGGCCACACUGGGACUGAGACACGGCCCAGACUCCUACGGGAGGCAGCAGUAGGGAAUCUUCUGCAAUGGACAAAAGUCUGACGGAGCAACGCCGCGUGAGUGAUGAAGGCUUUCGGGUCGUAAAACUCUGUUGUUAGGGAAGAACAAGUGCUAGUUGAAUAAGUUGGCACCUUGACGUGCGCUAACCAGAAAGCCACGGCUAACUACGUGCCAGCACCCGCGGUAAUACGUAGGUGGCAAGCGUUAUCCGGAAUUAUUGGGGCGUAAAGCGCGCGCAGGUGGUUUCUUAAGUCUGAUGUGAAAGCCCACGGCUCAACCGUGGAGGGUCAUUGGAACUGGGAGACUUGAGUGCAGAAAGGAAAGUGGAAUUGCAUGUGUAGCGGUGAAUGCGUAGAGAUAUGUGUGGACCCAGUGGCGAAGGCGAACUUUCUGGGUCUGUUACUGACACUGAGGGCGCGAAAAGCGUGGGGAGCAAACAGGGA
rnacentral:rRNA from 1 species